rnacentral:rRNA from 1 species
UACGAAGGUGGCUAGCGUUGCUCGGAAUUACUGGGCGUAAAGCGCACGUAGGCGGCUUUCUAAGUCGGGGGUGAAAUCCUGGAGCUCAACUCCAGAACUGCCUUCGAUACUGGAAAGCUCGAGUCCGGGAGAGGUGAGUGGAACUGCGAGUGUAGAGGUGAAAUUCGUAGAUAUUCGCAAGAACACCAGUGGCGAAGGCGGCUCACUGGCCCGGUACUGACGCUGAGGUGCGAAAGCGUGGGGAGCGAACAGG